rfam:Daphnia pulex DAPPTscaffold_114_Cont4831, whole genome shotgun sequence.
ACAGAUCUGGCCGAGUAGUUAAAGCGACUGAUUCGAAAUCAAUUUCCAUCUUGGAGCGUAGGUUCGAAUCCUACUAUCUGCG